rnacentral:rRNA from 1 species
UACGAAGGGGGCUAGCGUUGUUCGGAAUUACUGGGCGUAAAGCGCGUGUAGGCGGGCCGUUAAGUCGGGGGUGAAAGCCCAGAGCUCAACUCUGGAACUGCCUUCGAUACUGGCGGCCUGGAGCAUGAUAGAGGCGAGUGGAAUUGCGAGUGUAGAGGUGAAAUUCGUAGAUAUUCGCAGGAACACCAGUGGCGAAGGCGUCUCGCGGGAUCCUUGUUGACUCUGAGACGCGAAAGCGUGGGGAGCAAACAGG